CCUUAUCCAGGCCAAAUCUGAAUCCAAUAGGGCCCGCUUUGCACACUCCUAAUGCAUAGUAUUAUUGCUCCUAAGGGAUGGGUAAGGCUGCAAAGAUCAGAUCCAAACUUCCCUAGCAUAGGACUGUCCACAUCUGGGGUAUUUGAUUAGUCCCACCGUAGUUAGGAGCUAACUCCUCCACAGAAAAAGAUUACGUGUGCUCAUGAGUGCCAAAUACUUCCUAAAGCACGUGUCAAACUCACCUCAGGCUGGAUCCAGACUGCAGGGGCUACUCGGGCCAGACGUACAGGGCCAGGAGACUGGUGAGGCCACAUUCAGGCACGUAUCAGUGUGAAGCAAAGGGUGUCCACCCAUGUGGGACUGGCUGGACAGCAGUGUAGAGCCAGGGGCAUGAAGCAAUGUGGAGGAGAGCAUAUGACAGUGCAGGGCUUUGGCACAGAGGACCAGGCAUGCAACAGCACUGAGUUGUAUUUGGGCAGCAUGGGGCUGGAAGCAUGUAUCAGCACGAUUUGGGCAGUAAGAGAGCUGAGUGGGGAAGGGGCAGGCCAUGUCCAUUGAAAGCCAGCACCCCAAAGUCUGUGGCAGGCCAGAUAAAAUAGUUCCACAGGCCAGGCUGCAUGUUUGAUACCAAGUUUAACUACAUGGAUUAUUUCAAGAGCAAACUGCACAACCCAUCACAUAAGUUUAUAGCAUUAAUUAAUGCACCAUUAAAUGAAAGAUCCAGUUCCAUUAGACAGAGCUAUAUCUGGGUUCCAUCCUCACAAUAUUAUCUUCAUUGCAUGAGGUAUUCAGAUAACAUGCUCAAAUAAUACCCUUCAAUAUAUUAAGGAUUAGCACCCAGUUCUAAUCAUUUUAGCUUAAAAUAAUGUAAAACUGCUGGUUGACAAACAGCUCAAACUAAACAGUGACACAGCAGAAGGCUGUUUUAGAGACCCAGUGGUUUAAUUCCCAAACAGUCUAACUGGACCUAAAAGUAACUGUGGGCAGGAUUUUUGUUUGUUUCUAGCCUAAACUUCAGCCUUCACAUUUCCUCUUCCAGCCUCCUCUAAAUAAGCAUAUACUUUAGUCUCAUUUAAGAACUGCCAUAGAGAAACACUGAAGAAACUGCUCUAAUAAGAUUCAAGUUACUUUAAAGCUAAUAAGUUAUUUACAUGAUUCUAUAAGUCAAGUUCUUCCUUCUCACCAAAAGAUCCCAGUGUGACAGAAAUCCAGCUUGCUGUAUAUGCUCUCAGUUCGCCGGUGAAAUGUAUGUGUUCUCUCUCACAUUGCCUCAUACAGCAAUCAAAGGAGGAUGAUCAUCAUUGAGCAUUAGCAAAGCUUUACAUCUGAUGUGUAAGGUCUACAUAUGGAACCCAGCACAAUCAAGUGAGCUACAAUUGCCCUAUUAAGUCAUCCAAAACUCUGCACAUAAUCACAAUAAAUAUACUUUAAUAAAUGAAAAGUAGUAUUUUCUAAACACAUCAGAAGAAGUCAGUCACCACAGUGAAUUUUGUCCAAAAGACACUUCUUUAUUUUAUCCAAGGUAAAUUACGCCAUGAAUUCAUAGGGAAUUGGUUCCAGCAGCUCAGGCUCUUUACCGUUGGUUCUCAC